rnacentral:rRNA from 1 species
UAUUGGUCAAUGGGCGGAAGCCUGAACCAGCCAAGUCGCGUGAGGGAAGAAGGCCCUGCGGGUCGCAGACCUCUUUGGACGGGGAGCAAGGCCGCCGACGUGUCGGCGGAAGGAGAGUACCCGUAGAACAAGCAUCGGCUAACUCCGUGCCAGCAGCCGCGGUAAUACGGAGGAAGCGAGCGUUAUCCGGGUUUAUUGGGUUUAAAGGGUGCGCGGGCGGCACGGCAAGCCGGCGGUUAAAUCGCGGGGCUCAACCCCGCCCAGCCGUCGGAACUGCCGGGCUAGAGUGGGCGAGAAGUGCGCGGAAUGCGUGGUGUAGCGGUGAAAUGCAUAGAUAUCACGCAGAACUCCGAUUGCGAAGGCAGCGCACCGGCGCCCUACUGACGCUCAGGCACGAAAGCGUGGGUAUCGAACAGG